rnacentral:rRNA from 2 species
AGGAAUCUGCCUGGUAGUGGGGGAUAACGUCCGGAAACGGGCGCUAAUACCGCAUACGUCCUACGGGAGAAAGUGGGGGAUCUUCGGACCUCACGCUAUUAGAUGAGCCUAGGUCGGAUUAGCUAGUUGGUGAGGUAAUGGCUCACCAAGGCGACGAUCCGUAACUGGUCUGAGAGGAUGAUCAGUCACACUGGAACUGAGACACGGUCCAGACUCCUACGGGAGGCAGCAGUGGGGAAUAUUGGACAAUGGGCGAAAGCCUGAUCCAGCCAUGCCGCGUGUGUGAAGAAGGUCUUCGGAUUGUAAAGCACUUUAAGUUGGGAGGAAGGGCAGUUACCUAAUACGUGAUUGUUUUGACGUUACCGACAGAAUAAGCACCGGCUAACUCUGUGCCAGCAGCCGCGGUAAUACAGAGGGUGCAAGCGUUAAUCGGAAUUACUGGGCGUAAAGCGCGCGUAGG